GCCCCCAUAGCUCUAGUGGUAGAGCGUCGCUCUCGUAAAGCGAAGGUCGAGUGUUCGAAUCACUCUGUGGGCA
rfam:Absidia glauca strain CBS 101.48 genome assembly, contig: contig_8339